CCUACGGGUGGCAGCAGUGGGGAAUAUUGGACAAUGGGGGAAACCCUGAUGCAGCGACGCCGCGUGAGUGAAGAAGUAUUUCGGUACGUAAAGCUCUAUCAGCAGAGAAGAAAAUGACGGUACCUAACUAAGAAGCCCCGGCUAACUACGUGCCAGCAGCCGCGGUAAUACGUAGGGGGCAAGCGUUAACCGGAUUUACUGGGUGUAAAGGGAGCGUAGACGGGAGCGCAAGUCUGAAGUGAAAUGCUGGGGCUCAACCCUGGAACUGCCCUGGAAACUGUGAAGCUGGAGUGCAGGAGAGGUAAGCGGAAUUCCUGGUGUAGCGGUGAAAUCCGUAGAGAUCUGGAGGAACAUCAGUGGCGAAGGCGACUAUCUGGAACAUAACUGACGCUGAGGAGCGAAAGCGUGGGUAGCAAACAGGAUUAGAUACCCGAGUAGUC
rnacentral:rRNA from 1 species